CCGGAGAGCAAGACUGUCACGUUAAUUGAAGUCGAAAAGGAACUGAAAUCCCAACUAUUUAUAGUCGAAUGUUGAAGUUGUCGAGGAUUGAAAUAAGAAAUUUGCAGAACAGUUGGUUGGGAGAGAUUUGAGAGAAGCUGUCGAGAGAGGGAUGAGAGACAGGUUGAUUGAAUUGAAGAGGGGAGCUCGAAGCCUAACUAUUU
rnacentral:lncRNA from 1 species